AGUCGAACGCGCAGCAUUCUGUAGCAAUACAGGGUGUGGGCGCGUGGCGAACGGGUGCGUAACACGUGGAUAACCUUCCUUGAGGUGGGGAAACAACCCAGUGAAAAUUGGGCUAAUACCGCAUAACAUCGCGAUGGCACAUGCUGAUGCGAUCAAAGGCGCAAGUCGCCACAAGAGGGAUCCGCGGCCGAUUAGCUAGUUGGCGAGGUAAUGGCUCACCAAGGCAAUGAUCGGUAGCCGGGAUGAGAGGUUGGCCGGCCACACUGGAACUGAGACACGGUCCAGGAUCCUACGGGAGGCAGCAGUGGGGAAACCUUGCACAAUGGACGAAAGUCUGAUGCAGCAACGCCGCGUGGGGGAUGAAGCUUCUCGGAGUGUAAACCCCUUUCGACCCGGAAGAAUGCCCGCAAGGGUAUGACGGUACGGGUAUAAGAAGCCCCGGCUAACUACGUGCCAGCAGCCGCGGUAAUACGUAGGGGGCCAGCGUUGCUCGGAAACUACUGGGCGUAAAGGGUCCGUAGGCGGUGUAGCAAGUCGAUAGUGAAAUCUCUGCGCUUAACGCAGAAGCUGCUAACGAAACUGCUGUGCUAGAGUGUGAGAGAGGCGAGUGGAAACUACGGGUGUAGCGGUGAAAUGCGUAGAUAUCCGUAGGAACAUCCGAGGCGAAGGCGGCUCGCUGGAUCACAACUGACGCUGAGGGACGAAAGCUAGGGGAGCAAACAGGAUUAGAUACCCUGGUAGUCCUAGCCCUAAACCAUCA
rnacentral:rRNA from 1 species